GUCUUGGUUUCAGGCAGGUGGCUGGUGGCAUAUCUUGCUCACAGUCUUAGGCCCUAUUUUUGCUGUUCUGAUUACCUGCUGGCUUGUGGGUUUUUUUUACUACAAAUACAUUACUUUUAUUACUUUUAUCUUUUAUGGGUUUUCUGUUUUUUUAUUUUUUUUGUUUCUUCUGUCUUCCCAUUGUUUUUUUGUUUCAAUUGUUUUUUUCUUUGUUUUUAUGUGUUCAUUAGCAGGUUGAUGUCACCGUGAGAGUUUUUGGGUUCACUAGCUGAUUGUGGGGUUCUCAUUUUUAUCCACUGUGCAUCUCUGCCUCAGUGGUUAUCCUUGUUUGAUGCAUUUUUGGUGUUUUUUUCUUUUAUGCUUUAAUCUUAUGAAAUUUUCUUUUCUGGUGUGAUCAAUAUGAAAUGGGUUUCAUUAUGAUCA